rnacentral:misc_RNA from 1 species
AAGUCGUAACAAGGUAACCGUAGGUGAACCUGCGGUUGGAUCAUUAACAAUGGUUUUCAAACCUUUAUUCUGUGCACUGUAUUGUUCUUGGUGUUUUCCGCCUCUUUCUUUGGAGAGGAGCGGAGGCACCGACAUUUUUAAACCAUGUAUUGUAUCGAGUCUUAAAUUUGUAUUAAAAUGAAAAACUUUUGACAACGGAUCUCUUGGCUCUC